rnacentral:rRNA from 1 species
AACGAACGCUGGCGGCAUGCCUAACACAUGCAAGUCGAACGAGACCUUCGGGUCUAGUGGCGCACGGGUGCGUAACGCGUGGGAACCUGCCUUUAGGUUCGGAAUAACUCAGAGAAAUUUGAGCUAAUACCGGAUGAUGUCUUCGGACCAAAGAUUUAUCGCCUUUAGAUGGGCCCGCGUUGGAUUAGCUAGUUGGUGGGGUAAAGGCCUACCAAGGCGACGAACCAUAGCUGGUCUGAGAGGAUGAUCAGCCACACUGGGACUGAGACACGGCCCAGACUCCUACGGGAGGCAGCAGUGGGGAAUAUUGGACAAUGGGCGAAAGCCUGAUCCAGCAAUGCCGCGUGAGUGAUGAAGGCCUUAGGGUUGUAAAGCUCUUUUACCCGAGAUGAUAAUGACAGUAUCGGGAGAAUAAGCUCCGGCUAACUCCGUG